rnacentral:rRNA from 1 species
GGGCUUAAAGCGUGCGUAGGCGGCUUGGUAGGUGAGAUGUGAAAGCCCACGGCUCAACCGUGGAAUUGCGUUUCAAACCCCCAAGCUCGAGGAAGGAUAGGGGUGAUGGGAACUUAUGGUGGAGCGGUGAAAUGCGUUGAUAUCAUAGGGAACACCGGUAGGCGAAAGCGCAUCACUGGAUCUUUUCUGACGCUGAGGCACGAAAGCUAGGGUAGCGAACGGGAUUAGAUACCCCGGUAGUCCUAGCCGUAAACGAUGAACACUGGGUUGAGGGGACUUCCACAUCCUCUCGGCCGUAGCGAAAGCGUUAAGUGUUCCGCCUGGGGAGUAUGGUCGCAAGGCUGAAACUCAAAGGAAUUGACGGGGGCCCGCACAAGCGGUGGAGUAUGUGGUUUAAUUCGAAGCAACGCGCAGAACCUUACCAACCCUUGACAUCCUGUGCUAUAUUUAGAGAUAGAUAGUUCCCUUCGGGGACGCAGUGACAGGUGCUGCAUGGCU